AACGAGCGCAACCCUUAUCCUUUGUUGCCAGCGGUUAGGCCGGGAACUCAAAGGAGACUGCCAGUGAUAAACUGGAGGAAGGUGGGGAUGACGUCAAGUCAUCAUGGCCCUUACGACCAGGGCUACACACGUGCUACAAUGGCGCAUACAAAGAGAAGCGACCUCGCGAGAGCAAGCGGACCUCAUAAAGUGCGUCGUAGUCCGGAUUGGAGUCUGCAACUCGACUCCAUGAAGUCGGAAUCGCUAGUAAUCGUGGAUCAGAAUGCCACGGUGAAUACGUUCCCGGGCCUUGUACACACCGCCCGUCACACCAUGGGAGUGGGUUGCAAAAGAAGUAGGUAGCUUAACCUUCGGGAGGGCGCUUACCACUUUGUGAUUCAUGACUGGGGUGAAGUCGUAACAAGGUAACCGUAGGGGAACCUGCGGUUGGAUCACCUCCUUACCUUAAAGAA
rnacentral:rRNA from 1 species